rnacentral:misc_RNA from 1 species
GAAAAAACGUAUCCCACACUAUGUCCAACGGAAGCCGGUUCCGAGCUAUGAACAGAAACGCAAUUUUCGGUCCCCGAGCCGAUAGAGGAUGCAACGACGCCAGCAUCAUAACCCGACCAUACCGAGACUGCAUCAUAACUAAGCUCCCGAAGCAAAAUACAACUAAUAGAACAAUUGCGAGCUUCCUCUUCCAUUUGAAGAGAGCCUUCCGCUGCGCAACCUUCUGCUUCAUUAGGCUUCCGCUCCUGUUCACACAAAUUUCUCCACCAUUUCAAGCAGAACAGGAAACACAGUACAUC